AAAUCCCAAAAAUAAACGUCUCAGUUCGGAUUGUAGUCUGCAACUCGACUACAUGAAGCUGGAAUCGCUAGUAAUCGCGAAUCAGAAUGUCGCGGUGAAUACGUUCCCGGGCCUUGUACACACCGCCCGUCACACCAUGGGAGCCGGUAAUACCCGAAGUCAGUAGUCCAACCUCGUGAGGACGCUGCCGAAGGUAGGAUUGGCGACUGGGGUGAAGUCGUAACAAGGUACC
rnacentral:rRNA from 1 species